rnacentral:rRNA from 1 species
GACGAACGCUGGCGGCGUGCUUAACACAUGCAAGUCGAACGGAAAGGCCCUGCUUUUGUGGGGUGCUCGAGGGGCGAACGGGUGAGUAACACGUGAGUAACCUGUCCUUGACUUUGGGAUAACUUCAGGAAACUGGGUCUAAUACCGGAUAGGAGCUCCUGCUGCAUGGUGGGGGUUGGAAAGUUUCGGCGGUUGGGGAUGGACUGGCGCCUUAUGAGCUUGUUGGUGGGGUAGUGGAUUACCAAGGCUUUGACGGGUAGCCGGCCUGAGAGGGUGACAGGCCAAAUUGGGACUGAGAUAAGGCACAGACUACUACGGGACGCAGCAGUGGGGAAUAGUGCACAAUGGGCGGAAGCCUGAUGCAGCAAAGCCGCGUGCGGGAUGACGGCAUUCGGGUUGUAAACCAAUUUCGCCUGUGACGAAGCGUGAGUGACGGUAAUGGGUAAAGAAGCACCGGCUAACUACGUG